GCCAAAAUAGCUCAGUUGGGAAGAGCGUUAAAUUGAAAAUCUAAAGGUCCCGGGUUUCAGCA
rnacentral:tRNA from 1 species